rnacentral:rRNA from 1 species
UACAGAGGGAGCAAGCGUUGUUCGGAAUUACUGGGCGUAAAGGGCGCGUAGGCGGUUUGUCGCGUCUGCCGUGAAAGUCCGGGGCUCAACUCCGGAUCUGCGGUGGGUACGGGCAGACUAGAGUGAUGUAGGGGAGACUGGAAUUCCUGGUGUAGCGGUGAAAUGCGCAGAUAUCAGGAGGAACACCGAUGGCGAAGGCAGGUCUCUGGGCAUUAACUGACGCUGAGGAGCGAAAGCAUGGGGAGCGAACAGG